rnacentral:rRNA from 1 species
GUCUAUGGCCAUACCACCCUGAACGCGCCGGAUCUCAUCUGAUCUCAGAAGCUAAGCAGGGUCGGUAGUAUUCCAUCAUAAUCAUAUAUA